UAAGUCAUUGCGAAGAAGGGGUGUCGCCUUCCCUGGACCCAGCGCUAAAUGCUGCUUCCCCACCCCCACGUUCAUAUACACACCCCCUUCUUCACUCCGUCCAAACGGUUAUCACAACUCUGUACAAACUGAUACGGUCCCUAGCGGGCAAAGGGACUGGAAAUGAACGUCGCGGGGUUAUCAGCGCCUAUCUGUCAGCAGUGACUCGCGCGGCCGCAGGCUUGUCCGCUGCCGGAGCCGUGAUAUAUGUCUCUCUCCCUUUCGCUCACAGAAAGGAUUUCUUCCGACAGACGUGACCCCAGAAGGCGGCCGAGGGAAACUUUAGGACAAGAGGAGUUGUUUUUGUGAUAAUGCAUUUUUAAACCCCACCCCCCCACACACACACAAGUUUCAGCGUGCCCGCAUUUUGAAAAGGCUGAAGGUAGAAAACUCUGGAAUGGAGAGGCUGGCGACUGGAGCAGAAUCCAGGGGCUUUAAAUUUUAACCUGAGUGCGAUCGAAUGUGCGACUUCCAGAUGAGAUAGCCAGGCGUCCGCCCAGCCACUCAACCCCUGCCAGGACUCGGAAUGCCUUGCUUUUUAGUUCUUUUCGUGAGUUCCGACCAAAUGUUUAAGUGGACUGGGUUUUGCAGAAGCUUAUUUGUAAGCAGUGACGGAAAUGUGUUGUGGACAUUUGAUUUCCUUUGAUUUCAACGUUUUGAAAUAAUGUUUCUCAGGUUUGUUAUUAAAAGCAAUUUUUUAAAAAUCAUCUUAUUUGCUAAAAAUAAAACUCUUUGGCUCAGUUUGAGUCCAGGCUGUGAACGGCCUCCAACCCUGAGCCCCGAGGAGAUCGAGCCCUGGCGCGAGCCUGAUCCCUGUCCUGUGUGUUUCUUUGGUAUUUGCAAGUACAAGGAUGUCUGCACCGAUAUUCCUGGACACUGAUACCCCCGGGGACCUGCUUUUGCCGCAGCUCCGCAGACGCAGCGGGAGGGCGCGCUGGCCCUGGCGCUGCUGGGACAGAGGUGAGCGGCGGGAUGGACAUUGACCGAUUCGACAACGUUCGGGCUCUAAGGGCUCGGGAAGGGACCCGGCAUUUUACCCUCCAGAUUCCCUAUCUAUUUUUUAAAAUAAUGUUCAAAACAAAUAAGAAAAAUAAGUGAUUGCUCCUUUUCAUGGUCACAGAUUGUAUUUAUUUUUUUAGACUGGUUUUCCAAUCAAACGAGGGAAUGGGUAGUGAAUGCUGUUUUGGUUUUUUUUAAUGUUGGUUAAUUUAAAAAUAAAACUUUUUAACUCGUA